rnacentral:rRNA from 1 species
UUGCCUACGGGGGGCUGCAGUGGGGAAUAUUGGACAAUGGGCGAAAGCCUGAUCCAGCAAUGCCGCGUGAGUGAUGAAGGCCUUAGGGUUGUAAAGCUCUUUUACCCGGGAUGAUAAUGACAGUACCGGGAGAAUAAGCUCCGGCUAACUCCGUGCCAGCAGCCGCGGUAAUACGGAGGGAGCUAGCGUUGUUCGGAAUUACUGGGCGUAAAGCGCACGUAGGCGGCUUUGUAAGUUAGAGGUGAAAGCCUGGAGCUCAACUCCAGAAUUGCCUUUAAGACUGCAUCGCUUGAAUCCGGGAGAGGUGAGUGGAAUUCCGAGUGUAGAGGUGAAAUUCGUAGAUAUUCGGAAGAACACCAGUGGCGAAGGCGGCUCACUGGACCGGUAUUGACGCUGAGGUGCGAAAGCGUGGGGAGCAAACAGGAUUAGAUACCCCAGUAGUCACG